CUUGUCAAUUAACCAACAUAAAAAAUAAAUAAUAAUAAUAAAAAAAUUAAUGUCUCUCUACUUCAGAUUAGAUUUCGUACCCAACUCCGCUUUUAUUUUCCAUGAUCGGGAUCAUUUUAUUUUGUUGGAUCUGAGUUUGUGAGUCUUUUGAACUAUUCAUAACUAUUCAUUGUUAUAAUUAAUAAUAUUAAUUUUUAAUUGAUUUGUUCAUGAAUCCUACUACACCGGUAAAAUCAAUAGUGAAAUUCGUAAAUCUAAGUUAUGUCCACAUAAAACUUCAUUAAACUUACAACCCACUGUUUGAAAAGCGCUGUAUAGUGUCAAGUUUCAGUGACAUGUUACAGCGCACACAACUGUGAGUGUCAUAAUCAUGUUCAUCUUCAUAAAACCGACUGCACAAAGAACACCGUUUCCUGUGGUCUGAGGUGUUACUUCCUAAUUCACCCAUUGUGUGAGUCUCGUCUGUUCUCUCACACUCACUGUAAUGGAUCGUUCAUCUUCAUAGUGUUUCAGCUCCUGAUGGAGGUUCAGUCUUACAAAUCUCCUACUGUGAAAGUAUCUCCAGAUCCCAUAAGAGAGUCCAGCUCAGUGAAGAUCAGCUGUGAGACUCCAGCAGAUGUUAGAGUGAGUCAGUGUUAUUUCUACACAAACAGAGAACAGAAGAAUAUAAAAGUCAGUUCAUCAUGUGAGCUCGAGCUCACUGGUGCUGAAGUGCUCAGAUGGGCAGGUGUAAAAUCACCUGAAUCAAUCUACAUUAACUGUUACUACACAAUAAAUGAACGAGGCAUCGAUAAACCCUCAUCUCAUUCUCCUCCUGCCACAGUGACGGUUCUAGAUUCAUUUCCGAAACCCAUCAUCAGUGUUAGUGGAGAUGAUGACCAGCUCUUCAUAUCAUGUGAAAUACCACUUUCAGUCAGAGAUGAUUUCAACUGUAGUUUCUACACUGAGGAUGAUGUUCUUCUGUGUCAACGUGUCUCUCAGUGGAGUCAGUCUGGAAAGAAUCUUUGUAUGUUUCUCAGUAGAGUCAGUCUGGAAAGAAUCUCUGUAUGUUUUAUGUAAGUCGUAGUGAACUCUUCACACGAUCAGUGAACAGCAGACAACUGAUCUGUGUUUAUUCACUCAAAACUGAACCUGAGAUCAGAUCACCACACAGUGACACAUACACCUUCAGAGACACAUACACCUUCAGAGACACAGUCACCAUCAGAGGUGAGUUAUUAUUAUUAUCAUCUUUAAAACAUGAGCACAUUUGAUGAUUAGAGACACCUGUAUAAUUAUUUAGACAGUAUGAUUUAUUAUGUAGGCAAGUAGUAUCAAAGUACUUUUAAGGCAAGUCAUGUCACUCUGCGGCCAUCUUUGAACGCCUCUCGAGCAUGCAAGUGAAGCUCCUAUCUCUGUGAAUGGGGAAACAUCAAAUUCUCCAAAACUCACCAAGCUUAUGAUUAAAUUUAAUAUUUGAAAUCACCAAUGCAAUCUGACAACACCUGUCUCAUAAAUUUAUAUUAUUCAUAUAGCAUUAAAAAGCUUAUUUUUCAGGCUACACCAGCCAUAUGCGCAGUCCUUAGCACAUGUCUCCAGAAUGCUGACAGUUUCUAUAGCAACAAGACUUUUAACAGCAGCUGCAGUGACACAAUAACUGUUCUGAUUAGCGAUUGGCUCUUUUAAAAUUUAAAAUUCUUUUUAAAUGUCUUUAUCAUCACUUUUGAUCAAUUUAAAGCAUUCUUGCUAAAUAAAAGCAUUAAUUUCUAUAAUUUUUUUUCCA
ensembl:lncRNA